AUACGGAGGGUGCAAGCGUUAAUCGGAAUUACUGGGCGUAAAGCGCGCGUAGGCGGAUUGUUAAGUCUCAUGUGAAAGCCCUGGGCUCAACCUGGGAACUGCAUGGGAUACUGGCAAUCUAGAAUACAGUAGAGGGUAGUGGAAUUUCGGGUGUAGCGGUGAAAUGCGUAGAGAUCUGAAGGAACAUCAGUGGCGAAGGCGACUACCUGGACUGAUAUUGACGCUGAGGUGCGAAAGCGUGGGGAGCAAACGGGAUUAGAAACCCCAGUAGUCC
rnacentral:rRNA from 1 species